rnacentral:rRNA from 1 species
UACGGAGGAUCCAAGCGUUAUCCGGAUUUAUUGGGUUUAAAGGGUGCGUAGGCGGAUUGAUAAGUUAGAGGUGAAAUGUCCGAGCUCAACUCGGGAACUGCCUCUAAUACCGUUGAUCUAGAGAGUAGAUGCGGUAGGCGGAAUGUAUGGUGUAGCGGUGAAAUGCUUAGAGAUCAUACAGAACACCGAUUGCGAAGGCAGCUUACCAAUCUAUAUCUGACGUUGAGGCACGAAAGCGUGGGGAGCAAACAGG